GAAUGGUAUGGAAGGAGAGAAGGUUAGCACUUCCCUUGUCAAUGAUGGAAGAGGCUCUGGUGACCUACAACACACGUACAGUUAAUGCAUUGCCACUUACUUUGUGGUAGCCUAGUGGGUAGA